ACUUCCGGGCGGCGGCGUUUGAGCCCGAAGCCCGCCAAGGCGUGAGGCGCUGAGCUGGGGCCUGCUCCGAGGCAAGGGUUGAGCACCUGUGGGCUUCUUUCUCAGUCCGCGUUUACAGUAGAAAGACUCGCUCUGCUCGCCCUAACGGUGGGGUAUUGCGGCACAUGAGCUGCGUCCAAAAUGGCUAGUAUGCUCCAGGACACACGUACACUUGAAGCUUCUUAUUCUGAAAAUGUUGAUGCUGAGCUGUCCUUUCUGCCUGAAAGACUGAGAAAGAAACUGCUUCCUUUUCAGGAGAAAGGCAUCAUAUUUGCACUUCAGAGGAGUGGCAGGUGUAUGAUUGCUGAUGAGAUGGGGCUAGGUAAAACAAUUCAAGCAAUUGCUAUUUCCUACUACUACAGAAGGGAAUGGCCUCUGUUAAUAGUAGUGCCUUCAUCUCUGAGAUAUCCUUGGGUUGAUGAGCUGGAAAAGUGGAUUCCAGAACUGUCUCCAGAUGAUAUUAUUAUCAUUCAGAACAAAACUGACACUGGGAGAAUAUCAACCAGCAAAGUGAUAGUUCUGGGAUAUGGCCUGUUAACUUCUGAUGCACAGACUUUAGUAGACACUCUGUAUAGGCAAAACUUCAAGGUAGUUGUGAUUGAUGAAUCACACUAUAUGAAAUCCAGAAAUGCUAUGCGCAGCAACAUUUUAUUGCCAAUUGUGCAGAAAGCCACUAGAGCUAUUCUUCUUACUGGAACUCCUGCUCUAGGAAGACCUGAAGAGCUUUUCAUGCAGAUUGAGGCACUUUUUCCAAGAAGAUUUGGAACUUGGAGUGAAUAUGCCAAAAAAUACUGUGAUGCUCGUUUGAGGUUCUUUGGUAAAAGAAAACAAUGGGACUGUAGAGGAGCUUCAAAUUUAAAAGAACUACAUCAACUUUUAAGAGAAAUAAUGAUCAGAAGACUGAAGAAUGAUGUUCUAACACAAUUACCUCCCAAAGUUAGACAGCGUAUUCCAUUUGAUCUCCCACAAGCCACAGCUAAGAAUUUGAGUACCACUUUUGCAGAGUGGGAGAGAUUAAUGAGAAAGUUGAAUUCAGAGCCCACUGACAGCCAUUUUGUUGAAAUCAUGAGUUUAAUCACACGCAUGUAUAAAGAAACUGCAAUUGCCAAGGCAGGAGCAGUAAAGGACUAUAUCAGAAUGAUGCUCGAAAACGACAAACUGAAGUUUCUAGUUUUUGCUCACCACAUAAGUAUGCUUCAGGCUUGUACAGAGGCAGUUAUAGAAAAUAAGGUUCGCUACAUACGGAUAGAUGGAAGUGUUCCUUCUGCAGAAAGAAUACGUCUUGUUAAUCAGUUUCAGAAGGAUCCUGAUACCCGGGUUGCUAUUUUGAGUAUUCAGGCAGCUGGUCAGGGUUUAACUUUCACUGCUGCUACUCACAUUGUAUUUGCUGAAUUAUAUUGGGAUCCAGGCCAUAUUAAGCAAGCAGAAGACAGAGCACACCGGAUUGGGCAGUGCAGUUCUGUGAAUAUUCACUUCCUUAUAGCAAAAGGAACGUUGGAUCCUCUUAUGUGGGCAAUGCUGAAUCGCAAGGCCAAGGUUACAGGCAGCACCUUGAAUGGCAAAAAAGAGAAAAUGCAGGCUGAAGAAGGUGAUAAAGAGAAAUGGGAUUUUUUGAGUUUUGCUGAAGCUUGGACCCCUAAUGACAAUGUAGAAGAUCUCCAAAAUGAAUUUCUGUUUACACAUUUUGAGAAGGAAAGACAGCAUGACAUACGUUCCUUCUUUUCCCCAAAAUCCUCCGCUGGAAAGAAACACAAAAUGUUGUCAGAUAGUGAAUCAUUAAAGGUUGAUGCAGAGUCUUUUGAAGCCACAAAAGAAGAAAAUUCAGAGAAGAGCAGUGAAAGUCUGGAUUCCACGGGAAUAAGUGAUGUAGAUACAAUUUGUCAUGAAAAUACCUGUGAACGUGAAGCUAAAAGAGCAAGAAGCAUAAGUGGAUCUAUUCCAGUCAGCUCCAGUAAGAAGAAGACUUUGACUGGAAAAAAGUCCACCUUGUUCACAGAGAAGAACAACGAAGUCCUUCCUUGCAGCUCACAGACUUCAAGCAAAGGCACAGCUAUAAAUGAAGAUUGGCACUGUAGUGUUUGCACUUACAGUAAUAACAAAUGGCUUCCUUACUGUGAAAUGUGUAAUUGCCCUCAGAGCAAUAACGCUGAGAGAAACUGUGAAGUUCCUACUAGCCAGACUGAAGAAGACGUGUCAAAAGACUCCAGAAGAGAUGAACAGAAAGCAGCAUGGGAUGCUGAAGAUGAAAGAGAAGAUUUGGAGGAAUCGGUGACCCAGCAGUCUGAAAUCAGUGAACAAGAAGCUGUCAAAAUCAAAAGUAAAGAAAAUGAAAGAACGUGUGGAGAAGAUGAAUCAGAUGCAUUUCUAGUAUACGAUGGGCUGAUGUUCUGUGCAAGCAGGAAUACUGAUAGAAUUCACCUCUAUACAAAGGAUGGUGAACCACUGAAUCUGAAUUUCAUUCCAUUGGACAUACAACUGGACAACUGGGAGGAUUUACCAGAGAAUUUCCAACAUAAACAAAAUCGUUCAAUGAUACUGAGGUUUGUGAAAGAAUGGAAUCAACUAACAGCGAUGAAACAGAAAAUGGUCAGAAAAAGUGGCCAGCUGUUUUGUAGUCCUAUUCAUGCUGCAGAGGAGAUGUCUAAAAAGCAGUCAGCAGCAAGCAGCACAAAAAGGUAUGUGACCAAGGAGGAUGUAGCAGCAGCCUCACUUAGCAAAGCGAGCAGCAGUGGGGGCAGCGUGCGCCUCAUCACUAAGGAAAGUAGAGCUUGUCUGAAGAAUGAAAAUGCUUCUAUGGCACAACCAGGUCACUCCACAAAGUUGUUUUUGGAGAAUGGAAAAACUCCUUCAGUUCUUCCUUCUGAUUGGACUGAAGUUGAAAGUUCGUCCUUACCUAAAGGCUAUUUGCUGCAAGCCUUGGAUGGUGAAGGGAACCCACUUUGUCUCCACUGUCAGCAGCCAACAGCUCAGCUUGAUCAAAGCUGCCAGGCCCGUGCCUGGGACACACGGUUCUGCUCUCUUGCCUGCCAAGAGGACUUCUCGGUUCGUUCCAGUCAGAGCUACCUCAGGGUUAAGGUGUUUGAAAUUGAACACGGUGUUUGCCAGUUCUGUCAUCAGAAUGCCCAAGAGCUCUAUCUUAACGUCAGGGAUGCACCUAAGAGUCAGCGUAAGAAACUUCUGGAGAGCUCAUGGAUGUCUCAUCUUCCACUUGGGCAGUUGAAUGAAAUUAUAACAAACCCAACAGAAGGUCAGUUCUGGCAGGUGGAUCACAUCAGGCCUGUUUACAGCGGAGGAGGACAGUGUUCCCUGCAAAACCUUCAGACUCUGUGCACAGUCUGCCACAGAGAGAGAACAGCAAAACAGGCCAAGGAAAGAAGUCAGAUGAAGAGACGCUCUUUAGCUACCAAAGUCACAGAACUGGAGAAGUUGAAAGGGACCUCUGGGGAUCCAUAAAUCCAACCGCUUCACUGAUGAGCACUUCAGUUGCACUUCAAGCAGCACUUUUUCCCCAAAAGGUAUUAUCAUUGGAAAAAGUAUUUUCAAGAAUAAUCCAUACAAAUGCAGAGCAAUCUUCUCCUGACGUUGUUCUGUGUGCUGCUGUACUAACUUUGAAAGGCUUCAACCACAAGGCAAGCACCCGGCUGCUACAUUACAACACAUGGGCUUUCUGGAUGGUCGCUGUAAUCCUCAGCAAGCGGGCUUAGUGCCUGCUAAACCUGAUCUUCCACCAAGUUCAGAACCAGCCUGCCUAGAUCCUCUUACCCACUGCAAACGAGCACUGACACAGCCCAAACGCAACCUGUGCAGGGGGGCAGCAGCACUCCCCAGGGAUC